rnacentral:pre_miRNA from 12 species
UAAGGAGCACAGGCUUCUGUCUAAGGCAACAAGAAGUCUCUGAAAGGCUUGAGGUAGUGGACUGAAU